rnacentral:rRNA from 1 species
UACGUAGGGGGCAAGCGUUGUCCGGAUUUAUUGGGCGUAAAGAGCGUGUAGGCGGCCAUGUAGGUCCGUUGUGAAAACUCGAGGCUCAACCUCGAGACGCCGAUGGAAACCAUGUGGCUAGAGUCCGGAAGAGGAGAGUGGAAUUCCUGGUGUAGGCGGUGAAAUGCGCAGAGUAUCAGGAAGAACACCCGUGGCUAAGGCGGCUCUCUAGUACGGUACUGACGCUGAGACGCGAAAGCGUGGGGAGCGAACAGG